rnacentral:sRNA from 1 species
GUAGACGAUCGAGCGCGAUUCGCGCCUCUGCGUGAUCAAUCCGGUCCGCUCCAGCUCCUUCAGGUGGAAGGAG